rnacentral:rRNA from 1 species
AUUGAACGCUGGCGGCAGGCCUAACACAUGCAAGUCGAGCGGAUGAGAGAAGCUUGCUUUUCGAUUCAGCGGCGGACGGGUGAGUAAUGCCUAGGAAUCUGCCUGUUAGUGGGGGAUAACUCGGGGAAACUCGGGCUAAUACCGCAUACGUCCUACGGGAGAAAGUGGGGGAUCGUCGGACCUCACGCUAACAGAUGAGCCUAGGUCGGAUUAGCUAGUAGGUGAGGUAAUGGCUCACCUAGGCGACGAUCCGUAACUGGUCUGAGAGGAUGAACAGUCACACUGGAACUGAGACACGGUCCAGACUCCUACGGGAGGCAGCAGUGGGGAAUAUUGGACAAUGGGCGAAAGCCUGAUCCAGCCAUGCCGCGUGUGUGAAGAAGGUCUUCGGAUUGUAAAGCACUUUAAGUUGGGAGGAAGGGUAUUCAUCUAAUACGUGGGUACUUUGACGUUACCAACAGAAUAAGCACCGGCUAACUCUGUGCCAGCCGCCGCCGUAACAC